GAUGAACGCUGGCGGCGUGCCUAAUACAUGCAAGUCGAGCGAACAGACGAGGAGCUUGCUCCUCUGACGUUAGCGGCGGACGGGUGAGUAACACGUGGAUAACCUACCUAUAAGACUGGGAUAACUUCGGGAAACCGGAGCUAAUACCGGAUAAUAUAUUUAACCGCAUGGUUCAAUAGUGAAAGACGGUUUUGCUGUCACUUAUAGAUGGAUCCGCGCCGCAUUAGCUAGUUGGUAAGGUAACGGCAUACCAAGGCAACGAUGAGUAGCCGACCUGAGAGGGUGAUGGGCCAAACUGGAACUGAGACACGGUCAAGACUCCUACGGGAGGCAGCAGUAGGGAAUCUUCCGCAAUGGGCGAAAGCCUGACGGAGCAACGCCGCGUGAGUGAUGAAGGUCUUCGGAUCGUAAAACUCUGUUAUUAGGGAAGAACUAAUGUGUAAGUAACUAUGCACGUCUUGACGGUACCUAAUCAGAAAGCCACGGCUAACUACGUG
rnacentral:rRNA from 1 species